UACAAAUUAUAUUAAAUAAAAUGUAAAAAAAGGUUGUUUAAUGUCAGUUGCCACUGGAGAGCUGACAAUACCAACGUGUAGUCACAUCAUUUCAGUAGAAGUUAAUUAAAAUUUAUGAAAAAGCCACUCAAUUACCCAACUGUAACAUUAUAUGCAAGUAUAAAGUUAUUUCUACCCUUGAGUAAGAAAAUGUAUGAGUCCCUAUAUCAUAUGACAUAUUCGUAUUCCUAGUUCUGGCUCCGGGUCAUUUAAUAAGUAAAAACAGCUACUUUUCAUUCAUAUAAACGUAGGUGGAACCUUCAUGUGUUGAUCUGACCAUUUUGCAUUUGAAAUACACAAACAUCUGAUGACAUCUGAGGGGUGUGGUGGAUGCAGAGGAGACAGGGCGAUGUAAUAUCGAGACACUCCACACUGUGCUCUAAUCAAACCACCUACUAGUACUUUCAUACGGUGGUUUCUGAUGUAAAUGAACUGCCCAUCUGGAGUUGAUGGGUCUUCAAUUGAAAACAGAUACUGAGGUUGUAGAGUAACUUUAAAGUGGUUGAAACUGGCCAUUUGCCUCUCCAUUUGUUUUGUCAGGAUUUACCUCAAAUAACUUGAUACAAACAAACACAUUAAAUUACUUUGUCACCCCAGAACCUUUGUUAUCUGCAGAUAGCGGACAGAUAUCGAUACACUGUACGUACAUGAUGAGAAGAGUGAGAGUUUGGGUGAAAAGGGGAUUUGAUAGGGCAUGAAUGGAGAGAGCGCUUUUCUCAAUGAGUCCAAUGUUUCGCUCAGCAUGUGCUUGCCUUGCAUGCCACCCCCUUCCCUCCCCAUUUCUCACUCUAUUCACUUCCUUCCUCUCUAUCUUCCACAACUACUUCAGCCCCAUCCCCCAUACCCUCACACAUCUCUGCCAUAUACCCAGCCCCUCAGUAUGUGGAUGGAGACAGGGAAAUAGGUCCACUCUGUGUGUGUGUGUGUGUGUGUGUAUUGGUGUGAGGAAUGUUGUCCUUCUCAACCACUGGCACCACCUGGAGACCGAUGAGGGGACUGGAUAAUGUGACUGAUCGGAGAUAAUAAAAAACAAAUGUUAGCGUUUCACAUUUAGAUAUGAAGCAAAAAAGUAGGUUACAAAUGUUGCAAAAUCAGUGCAGACACUGGAAACUGAUAACAGAGCAGAACACUGUCAUAUAUCAAGAGAAUAUAAUUUCAGAGCAUAAUUUUGUAAUGUAGUGCUCUCUUAGAGCAGUUUAUCAUUUUUAUGCUUGUUUUGUUUCUUUUGCUUAAUGUUGAUGAUCCCCAACCAGCAAAUAACUGACUAUCUUCACUGCACAGAUAAAGGUCAUGUCAGCAAUUUCAAUACAAGCCACUUUUGUUCUGUCGCUUUCAAGGACUUAUUUUGAUUAGUCGUCUUAUCGGAAAUUUAAAAUAAAGUCAACAUUUUCAUGAAAUUCCAUUCUCCGUCAAUACUCCAACUAUUCUUGGCUUUAGGAUUUUGAGGAAUGAGAUUUAUUCUGAAAUCUUUCAUAUCAGGAUCAUGAAAAAACGUUUACAUCAGUUAGUACAUUUGAACUGAAGUCAUGCUAAAUCAAGAACACCGUCCCUUAUCACAGACUAAUGAAUAAAUGUUUUCUGUACCGGAGUGACCAGAUCUUGACCUACGGCUCAAGAAAACCACAGAACAAACGGAAUGCUAUUUGACUGCCAGCAGUUCGGUCAGAGAUUCGAGUGUGCCAUGCUAGUAGCUGCUAAUGUAGUCUCAAGCUGCUGGCCUUAAGCAGGGAUGAGGAGUGGGCUACAGAAGUCAGGCUGCUGAUUAAUGUUUUACCAGGAUCCUUGCUCAGUUUUGGGAUGAUGCACAGACCAGACAUGAACAUUUAGUGUUUUUUUUAUAUAGACAGACACCGUGGGUCGCCUUCUAUGGAGUCCGCCAUGUUGAACCGCCUUGUUUCUACAGUAGCCCAGAACGGACAAACCAAACAAUGGGUUGCUGCAUAGGCGUGCACCAACACUCACAGUAAGGGCAGAAGAACAAUAGCCUGCAGAAAAGUAAUAUGACAGGAACAUGAGCAAAAAUGUUGAAGAAAUAGGUUUAGUGUAAUUAUCUAUAAUUUUCAUGUUUGUGUCAUUUUUCAUUAUUGUUUUUUCAUUAAAAUUAUUUUAAUUAGUAGUUUUCACAAAUGUCCUGCUGCUGUCUACAGUGGUGCAAUCUGCAACAGGGGUAGCCAGGCGUCUCCUUGUUAGGGACUCCAUUGUGUGGGACUGCACUGCAUUUUUUUCCUUUGUCGUAAGUCCUACAUUUUGAGACAAAAUGUUCCACAUUUCAAACUGCUCUAGUUUACAAAAGUCAAACCACUGCAUGGCAGAUGCUUUUCUAAAAACCUAGUUUUUAUGCAGUGGCUGCGAGGAAAGCAGGGGCUGUGUUUAAUGUCAAUCAAACUGCGCACACAUGGGUCAAAUGCAGGUUAAACUUUCACAGACUUUCCUGCACUAUGCCCAACGGGGACAAUUGCCAGUCACCACAAAGUAACAAGCUAUGCAGAUUUAGGUGGAAUAUGAUGCGAAGUACCACAAAGAAAAGGAAACGCAGCCACAACAAAUACUGGGAAACUAUAACUGGGUGAAGCCGGUGGAAGGUGAUUAUCGCAGACUAUUGUUCAAUACCAUAUGAACUGUGAAACUUAAUACAGUAAGCAUAAAACAAAGCUUAACUUUGUGUGGGAGUUCAGAAAGUUGCAUUGAAGGCCUUCGCAUGCUGAAGGUCUAACCUGUAACCAAACCUGCACAGUCUAUUGUGUGCUGCUGAAUCAACCAAAGGGCAAAGUUUAGGGAGUUCCAAGCAAAGAGACAGAACAUAAAUGUUUAUUUUUUCAAAUUAGAUAGACAUUACAUCAACAUUUUAGAUUACCUCACCACACAUUGUCCCAUGUUUGUUGGGAUCUGGUCACCCUUACAGACAUGUAAAUAGAGUUAAUAUUUAAAUGAGUUAGUGGUUAACAUUUUAAUUAGUGCUCACAAACUUCUUUUCAUAAGGUUAUUUGACAGCAUAGCAAGAAAUACAAAAUGUUUAAUUCAUAAUAUAAUGUUGAAUGAAUGUCAUUCUUUCAGCUGUUGUAAUGAUUCAAUUCAUUGUACUGAUCUAGUUGAGUGGAACAUUUUAAGUCUUGACUAGGGCUGGACCUAACUAUUAUUAUUUCACUAUCAGUUCAUUGUUUUGUGAAUACAAUGUCACAGAAUUGUGAAAAAUACCCAUGACAAUCUCCCAGACCCCAAUGUGACACAUGCAGUGCUGGAUUUGUCUGACCAACAGUACAGAUGUCAAAGACAAUUCAUUUCCAGUGAUAUAAAACAGAAUAAAGCAGCUAAUACUCACAUUUAGAGAGCUGAAACCAGCUAAAUGUUUGCCAUUUUUUACUUGGCCAUUUGUUCAAACUGAAGUAUGUCUUGCUGCCAAAAACUCUGCAAUGGUAAAUUGUGUACAUUUGUCUUACACUGUGCAUUCAAGACAACAAACAGGGACCAUCUUCCCACUUACCUCACUUGUUAUGUCUUCUACAUGUGUUUUUUGUAUGCUGUGCUUUGUACUGGUUGUGUUUUAUUUUGCUGCAUUACUGUUUUACACAAUGCUGUGUGAUUGAUUGGUAGGCUCAAUCCCUGUAAAGUCCUUUGAGACACACUUGUGAUGAAUGGCAACAGAAAGAAACUUGACUUAACAUUCUUUAUUGCAAGCUGGGUGAGAGCAGUGAAUUACAAAUUAAAUGUCAUAUGCUUUGAUAAAUAAACUAUAUAUAACCCUGUGUUGAAUCAUAAACACUAGAGCUAAUAGUGACAUCUGAAACAAUACUGUUUCUAAUGUAUGUAACAAUCAUUCCAGUUUACAGUAAAAUGUAAUUAGUAUUUUAACUAAGGUGGAGAAGACAAUGUAGCACACAUUAAAGCAACUGUUUCAGGAACCAAGGCGCCUAUAGUCUGUGUGAAAACAACAACCUCACUGCAUAUCACACUGUGCCAGAUGGGUAAAGUCUCAGUCGCAAUCCAUCCAACUUUGAAUCAUGAGAUGAUCAUUUUUCUAUGUGAGUUUAAGGUAAAUAUGUUUGUGAUUUUUCUUACCAAUGUAUUCUGUGUCAUUUCAUGUCAUAUUCUGAUUGGUUAGUUUAUAAAUGUGGGUUGUAGCGACAGUCACAUUGUGGUCCUACAUCAGAAUUUUGAUGCAGCCUGCUUUUGGGCACUGGAGCUCUAAAUCAGCCAUCUGUGGGCUUUCACAGUGUGCUGACCAAUGUGUUUGAUUGAAGUGGCACCUGCAAAAAAAUCUUAUUUUUUAAUUUCAAUUCCUUUAAAUUAACAUUUUUUUUAGUAUUACUCUCAAAUAAUUUUUUUGUUUUAGAUUUAUACAUGUAUUGCUCUCACCAGUAGGUGGCAGAGUAAGCUGACUGUGGCACAUUACUGCAAGACACAUUGAAGACAAGCUGCAAUUUGCAGACCAUGGAAAUGUGUGUGUGUGUAUGUGUGUGUCCGGUGCUGCUGUACUGAUAGCUUUUAAGUUUUUCUGGUAAAAUAAUAACAUUCUUCUUUACCACUAAUACCAUCGCAGUGUGAAUAGUGUAAAAAAAAAAAAGAUUUCAUCACAUUCAUUGUCAACUUUCAUCUGGAACAGCCCAGUGUAAAGGGACCUUAAGCAUUGUUUGCUGCCAAAGAUUGGAGGUAUAUCUCUAAUGCCACACUUGAUAGAAAUCAGUUGUGAUGGUGAGACUAUGCAUUAUUUGCAAUGGCUGAAUGGCUUUUGCAGCUUGCAGCUUGUUACUCUGCUGGAUUUUGUCAAUACGUAUGCACAAAAGAGGGAUUAUAAUUAAAGAAAAUGUCAGCUGCUCGUGCUGAAACAAUACACAUUAAAAAGGUAGUAUACAAACACACACAUCACCACUAAUGAAAGCCCACAGCCAUGAGACGGGAGAGGUUACUGUAGUGUUAAACAAUGCUUAAUGCUGUGAAGGCCACCUCCAGUUACAUUUACAUCUGUGGAGAGCUGCAGUGUUGCCAGGCAGGACAGUGGGCCAGACAGAUCUAUGGCCCAAUGCCCAGAACUCUGCUGCUCGGUCCCGAGGCUCAAACUGCCUGUCCCAACGUGGCUCCUAAUGUAACCUCUACCACCACUUCCCAAAGUAUGGACAACUUGUGUGUGUGUGAUAGGUAGAUAGGUAGAUAGAUAGAUAGAUAGAUAGAUAGAUAGAUAGAUAGAUAGAUAGAUAGAUAGAUAGAUAGAUAGAUAGAUAGAUAGAUAGAUAGAUAGAUAGAUAGAUAGAUAGAUAGAUAGAUAGAUAGAUAGAUAGAUAGAAAAAAUGAUACACUGUAACUCCACCAGCCAACUUUUCUAUCAUUACUGUGGCAUCUCAUUAAUUUCUUGUUGAUGUUUGGGUUACGUAACAUGUAGCACAUUUCUGAUCCAUCUGUGAGUACAGUAAGGUGCAAUCACAGAUGGAUAACUUCAUCUGCUCUUAGCACAGUGUUGCCUAACUGCCAGCUUUGUUUACAGAGUGAUUUAUUGGAUUUAUAGUCCUUUUUUCUGUCUUAAACGUGUCACUUUCACCCUGUCUAUGCAAGGACGGUGUGAACACAAGACUAAAAAUAGAAGAGGCAUGUACAUCUGUAUAUUGAUGUAGGAUGUGUUAAAGCAAGUUAACAUUUCUCAUCUACUUUAGCAGCAUGAGACAUGUACUGAAAAUGUUUAUGGUCAAGCAAACAGCUCUUUUUUAUUAUUACUUAAACUAUAUAUAUAUAUUUAUUUAGGACAACUGGAUCAUAAUCCGUCUGCAAUGGUGUGGUUUGGCUCACAGUCACAUGCAUAAUGAAAGCCCAAAUUUACAACUGAACAUUAAAAUAUGAUGAGUGGCUCAGUUGGAUUUAUUAAUCAUGAAGAACACAUUGUGAGACCUGUUCAAGGUUUUUUUUUUUAUGUAUUUGUAAACAUCUAAAUCUUUGACCGGUGCUUUGAAUAUAUAUUUUAUAGAAGAACUUAACAAACGCACCAUGAAAUGCUUGUCAUAUCUGCAGAAUCUGUGAAUAUUGUUGAAAAUACUCUGUCCAAGACAUAUGUGUUGUGGUGUGCUGAGUUGCAGCUCUCCCGAUGCUUUCAUUAGGAGCCCUGUUAGCCCGGUCCCCUCAGCCGGCACUGCAUCACCACCCUAACAGGAGAUAGAUAACCAUAAAUAUGAGCAGGGUUGCCGAAUACCAACAAAUAACAGCAUCUCAUCUGGUCUGUAAGAGUUUUCUAGCCACUGUGAGCAACAUUACACCCCACCCAGUAAUUACCUGUUUUUAUUCCAAAGACAUACCAGAGCACAAUUCAUUUUGAGUUAUUUGUUAUUUGGCUUUUAAACAAGGGUGUGACUCUGCAUUUACUGAGACUGAAUCACUCUCCGGAUUCUGAGUCUAUCACAGCAGUACUGGAGGAGAGCUAAUCAAAUCCUGCUGCCCACCCAAUCUGGAUGGAUCACAGUUUAGGGGGGAGAACAGAAUAAUUCAUGCACCCCAAAGCUCAUGUAACAGACCAAGGUGAAAAUAAGUAGGCUUUUAAUACAACCCUGAUUAUUUAUUAAUCCUGUCUUGGCCCUCAUGAAUUCAAUAAUUAAGACUGCGGACCAUUAGGGUCAGUUUUACAUUUUGUGUUUUGAAAUGUAUAAAAACUUUGCUCUAAUAAACACUA